rnacentral:rRNA from 1 species
UACGUAGGGUGCGAGCGUUAAUCGGAAUUACUGGGCGUAAAGCGUGCGCAGGCGGUUCGUUGUGUCUGAUGUGAAAGCCCCGGGCUCAACCUGGGAAUGGCAUUGGAAACUGGCGAGCUGGAGUGUGGCAGAGGGGGGUGGAAUUCCGCGUGUAGCAGUGAAAUGCGUAGAGAUGCGGAGGAACACCGAUGGCGAAGGCAGCCCCCUGGGCCAACACUGACGCUCAGGCACGAAAGCGUGGGGAGCAAACAGG